rnacentral:lncRNA from 1 species
GGAACUGGGCUUAAACUCCUGGACUCCCGCCUCAGCCUCCCAAAGUGCUGGGAUUACAGGCGCCCGGCCUCAGGGCCCUUUUCUUAGAGGGAGUGGAGAACUGGCCCAGGUGGGGGAGUAAGACAAGCUGCCACCUAGCCAGGCUGUGCCUGGCUGCCGUGCCUGAAGAGCCCACCGUGGAUUCUCUCCAUGCGGGUCGGGCAGCAGCCCAGGGACUGACCAGAGAGGAAGAGCAGGAUCCCAGAGGAAGGACUGAAAUCUCUUCGAAGCCAGACACAGCAUCUUGUACUGUGGACAGUGAAAGCAUUAAGAUAAGCAGCAUUCCACUGUAAAUCUUACACAAAAUGCCACAUCCACUGAUCACACGACCUUGAAAAAUGAAGAUAGGCAGCGUCGCACUUCCAAUCUUGUACUUCAGGGAAUGAACUCCAUUGCCUUUGUGUGCAGGAAGCCGGAAGCACGACCACUCUUUACCCUCGGCCUCAUUACAAGACCAAGACCUCUGCCUCGGCGCGGCAGCUCUCACCUGGAAUCCCAGCACUUUGGGAGGCCGAAGCGGACGGAUCACCUGAGGUGUCAGGAGUUUGAGACCAGCCUGGCCAACAAGGGACGCUCACCUACCUCAUGAAUUACGCGUGUCGCCCUCCUCGAGACGCCACAACGCAGUCCCCUGGGGAGCCAGCCGGAGACCUCUCCCUGCGGUGCUGUCUCCCCCGUGGUGGAACGGAAGCCCCUAAUAAAGCCUUGUCUGGGAAAUUUGCUUGGCCUCGUGUCAAUUUUUAUCGGAGCCUAAAGAACCUGUGGUCAGUAACACGAUCAUUUCAGUUAUCACUUAAGUUUUGGCUUCCUUAAUAUGAGAGUCAGUUUUGAAAAAUCAAAAAAGAGGCUGGGCGCCGUGGC